rnacentral:lncRNA from 1 species
AUGAAAGAAAAGAGACUAUUUCCUCAAAUAACGAAUUCUUUUAAAAAUUCACAUGAUGUCAAGCACAGUGUGGCACACCAAAUUCUGUUUGGUGGUUUUUCUCCAGCACCUCCAAAUUAUGAAAAACCAUGUAUGAGAAGUAAAAAACCAGCAUCUAAGAACCUGAUAAACUACCGUCUACGAAAGAAGGACUUUCUGAAGACUGUAAGAAUCUUUUUGCUUGUCAUCCAACAGUGGAUCCCUGGGGUAGUGUCACUUCAGAAACAGAGUAAUUCUGCAAGCAAGGUUGGCUCGUCCGAAGGCUCAGAAGGUGAUCAGGACUCCGUGGAUGGUCUGAGCGGACCGUUAUCGUCACUUAGCUGAGUCGGACAACCAAGUCCCAAAGGUGGAGGCCUGCAGCUUUUGCCUAAUUAACGGCUUUGAGGUAGGAGAGGACCCGGCACAGUGUAGACCUUAGCAGGUUGGCUUUCUUGAACACUUCCCCGGGCUUCAACACCCUCAUCCCUCAAAUUUUCUCUCUCUCAAUAUUAGAAACGAGAACAAAAGUUAUCGUUAUCAUCAUUACUGAUUUUUUUUAAAUAAGUAAGUACUUGUGGCCACCCUUCUUCGCAAGAACCGCAGAGAUGGUGCUGCGGGCCCACAGCCCUGGGCUCCAGCGUGGAGGAGGAGCCAGUCCCUUCGGCUGGGAGUCGCGGGCGGGCAGGGGCGCAGGGGGCGUGAGAGAGGCUAUUCUGGAUUCCGAGCGGUAGCCCGGAGGCAACGCAGCCCUCCGCGGCCGGCCUGCCCUCCGCUGGGGGAGCGGAUGCGCCCGCGCCGUAGGGCGGGUGGGGGCGGGGAGCUGGCGGCCUCCCGCGGCCCGAAGC